CUCCUACCCGGGCUGCCAUCUUGGGGGCGGGGCUUGGAAGUCCCAGGAGCGUUCUGGGGUUGAUGGAAUUGAAACAGGUUUCUUGGUUUGGGGUCCAUUCGUCCCUCACUAGGUAAGUGACUGACCCUUCAACUCUUCUAGUUAGUACGUGUACAACGAAUGAAGGAUAUAAAGGAGCACCACUGAAAUUCAGGUUAAUGCAUGUAGGCAGAAUGAGGGAAAUGGAAGAUCACCAUUGAGCAAACAACUCUUUGAUUGUUACUCCAAGAUUCGUGGAUCCAUGCUAAAAACUGGUGGGGAAGAGGAUUUUUGCAUUAUCUCAAAGUAUUUCCCCCCGAGAUACAUGAUAGCUACAAAGAGAAAAGUAGUAAUUUUAGAGGGGCGACACCAUCUUUAUAGCCCAUUGAGCAAAGUCAACGUCGUUAAAAAAAGACGGUGACUUCAUGGAGCCACCAUGGGAUACAGAGAAGGACAUUCUGAGUGGCAUCUCCGUGGAAUUUCUGUGCAAAGUGCACGGCCUCAAUCUGAUCAGAGCAGAUACCAGAGGGACCCAAGUUGAGGGACAUUCGACCUAGGUAGCUGGCAGUUAGUUCUCUUUAAAAAUGUCAUGAAAGACAAAGGCUGAGGAACCAUCACAGAAUGAGGAGACCAAGACGUCGAAAGGCAACUGGGAUCCAGGAUUGGAUCCUUGCCUUAGUCUGGGUUGUUACAACAAUAUCUCGCAGACUGGCUGGCUUAAACAACACAUUUAUUUCUUACAGCCUGUUCUGAGUGGGGGUACCUGCUCAUGUUAAGAAAUGCUUCCCUCUUUGCAGCUGGCUGCCGUGGACCUGUUAGGAAUUGGCUCCAUAAAUUGGAGGACAGCAGACUAUUUGGUGUUUCACACAGCGCAGUUCUUUUGAUGUCUCCAUUUCCCUACCUCCUGUGUUUGACCUUCAGCAUAUCCCUAUGAAGGAUUCAAUUAGUGGCCAAACGCUGUAGGUGACAAGGACUGAGCACGUGAAGGCGUCCAGGAAGCAGAAAGACUGCGUGGCAGCAGCAGUUCCCAGAGGUGGCCAGCAGAGGGCGGAGUGGACCGCGAGACAUCUACUGAAUGGACUCGGGGACCCAGAGAGCCAGGGUAAUUACCAAUUACCCUGAGGAGCCAGGCAGUCAGAUGUGAGGAUGGGGACAGGGAUAUGGGUUCCCCCUACUGCCCCCCUCCCCAUCCACGCUGCUGCCCACCCUGGGAGCUCCUGGGAGGAGCCACUCACCUGGAGCUGGUAAGGCUUUCCUGCGCGGAUCAGCUGGGAGACGAGGAAAUUUGUAUGGAAAAAGUGCACGUUCUCAUCCAGGAAGCCGUGCAGGAUGAGCAGGCGGUUGGGCCUGGAAGACAAGGUUGGGGUGAGGGUCUGAGGCUGAACCCCCUUCUCCCACCCUGCCCCAUGGCAGUGAGGAGGCAGCAGCAGCAACUUGGCAGCAGAUGGUGGAGCAACCCAAUGAUCUGGUGUGACUGGCAUGUCUGGGAAAUGCCUGGCCAGGAGGGGAGGGUGUGGCUGGUGGUACCUGGAAUGCCCUGAGGUCCCAGAAGCUUCUGGAAUGUGCUAGGCCUGCCCCACCCAACACCACCAGUGGCUACCAAGUACUUGACAUGUGGCAUGGGUGGUGGAGGUUGAUUCCUUUUGAAAUUUUGACAUAAAAAUAGCUUACUAAGGUGA